rnacentral:lncRNA from 1 species
GUGAGAUCAUCACAUCCCCGCCACCACUACCCUGCUGCCUCCUGACCGAAGAUGACGAAGAACUGCAGCAGAUUUUUAAAAAAUGUUUCACAUUCCCUUUGCUUCUCAUCUCUAGAAAACUCUCCAGAUCAAGAACUUUGGCCUUGGAGUAUGGAGUAGUGAGUUUUUCAGUCAACGAGGAGAGUCCAGCCAAAAUCCCUUUAUCUCAAAGACAAACAAAGGAAGCUAAUGAGGGAGAUGGGAGGAUGGGGGAACAAGGGACAUUCUGGAAGCUUUAGCA